CUCACUAACCUCUUUGCUUUUACUAUUUUCGUGAUAAAGUUGUAAUUCAGAAAAAUAAUAGAGGAAUCGUGACUGUAAGUAUUUCCAUGUAUGGGUUCCCCUACUAUAAUAAAUAUGAGGUCUAUAGUUUCACCUAGAAACCAAUCCUAAGCAUCUUUCUUAAGGGUAUAAAUAACGAUAAUGAUGCUUUUGAUCAUCGUUUCGAUCCUUGUCUGCCUUGUAUGCUACAUUUACCGAACACUGAGGCCUCCACCAUCGCGAAUCUGCGGUACUCCUCGUGGUCCUCCGGUUACUGCUCGGAGAGUCAAGCUCAGUGAUGGACGACAUCUUGCUUAUAGAGAAUCUGGCGUUGAUAGAGACAACGCUAAGUACAAGAUCAUCGUCGUUCAUGGAUUUGGCAGCUCCAAACAUAUGGAUUUUCCUAUCUCUAAGGAUCUUGUUGAGGAGCAAGGUCUAUAUUUUGUGUUUUUCGAUAGAGCAGGAUAUGGACAAAGUGAUCCACACCCUUCACGCACAAUCAAAAGCGAAGCAUACGACAUUCAAGAACUUGCAGAUAAACUCAAUCUGGGACCAAAGUUCUACGUUAUAGGGGUAUCACUCGGUGCUUACUCCGUUUAUAGCUGCCUCAAAUACAUUCCUCACAGAUUAGCUGGAGCAGUCUUAGUGGUUCCAUUUGUGAGCUACUGGUGGACUAAGACCAUGUUUAUCCCAGUUUCUUAGCAUGGUUUUUAAGGAAAGUAGCUGAUUUAAUUAAAUCAGAAUUAAUUAAAAAGCACAUUACCGAUCCUUAAGUUGGGUCUUUGGCAACCGAUUUUUGAGUGGGUUUCAUAACCACGUGUCAACAAAUAAAGGGUUCUUUUUUUUUUCUUUUUGUUUUCUUUUUUUUUUCCUUUUUGUCGUCUUCUCUAUCAUUCGGAGAAAGAAACCACGACGUCUUCUCUCAUCUUCUCCGUCAGCGUCAGAGACGAUCGACGAUUCGGUCGGUCCUCACGGCGUCUCGUCCUUCUUCUCUCUUGUUCUCCGUCAGACGAUCGAUCCUCACGGCGUAUCGUCCGUCUUCGUUCGAUCGAUCGAAACCCAUCUCUCUCUCACCCUUUCUCACACCACCAUCCUCUUCUGUUCCCCUGUCCUCGCAUCAACAGCCCCCUUCACCUCAAUCUCCGACCAAUCCACCGUGAACGCGUUUCGUAAUCUCAAGUUUCUUGGUAAGAGCUCGUUCAGGUUCCGUAUAGUGGGGAAGAUGAGUCGGGGGUUUUGAAGAGAGUUAAAGGGAGCUUCUCUGAUCCGGAGAACACAGUUGUUUGUGUCCUUGACAAUUUUGAUGGUAACUCAAUGAAAGUGGCUGAAUUGCUGGUUGAGAAUGGAUUCAAGGAGGCUUAACUUGAAGCUUUCCUACGCAAUGUUGUUUGUUUUGAUAAUUAUCAGAUAUUGUUGAUAGUCAUGCGUGUUUAUUUCUUCAAAGUUUGUAGUCUUACGGAUUUCACUUCCUUUUCUACCUUUUCAGUUCUGUUACAGGUAUGAUACAAAACAUAGCAUUCAUUUCGAUGAGCUACAUUUUCUUUAGUGUGCUACUGUGGUCAUGAAUCAAAUCAUCAGCUUCUCCCUAACUCAUGAUAUAAAGAAACGUUUAUAGAUUAGUAAAAGUAUCUUCAAAUGAAGCUGUUUUGAUUGUUAUUUUUACAGAGUCUAAUCUGAACGAAGCAUUAAAAGUUGUUGGUUAGUGUUGAUUCUCUCAUAUGAAACUCAAAUAAACAUUAAACUGAUGAUCUAAACUCUGGCAGGUGAGAAUGUGCACGUAUCUUUUGCUGGUUUAUGGACCUGUAAGGAGUCACCUCGGUUUCCCUGCUUGGAGACUUCGAUACACUGAGAUAGUACAUAUAGGAUCGUUGAAGUAUGUGAGAUAUGGUUCUCUUUUGAAGGCAAUCCACAAAAAAGUUAAUUUUUUUAAGAACCUCUAAUUAGAAAACUGCCUUUGGAGCACACAUUCUAAUUGUUUCUUAACUAGAAUUCUUAAGUACAACUAAAGUACAAUUAAUUAAUUAAAUAAUCAUUAAGAAACUCAUAUGAGGUUAUAGGGAUAAUCAUGCUCUAAAGUGCCUCAAAACAUGUUGAGUGAAGCGCUCAAGCUACUACCAGAAACGGACCAGUGGACCUUUAGAGUGGCUCAUUAUGUUCCUUGGCUCUUGUAUUGGUGGUUGACACAAAAGUUGUUUACUUCUUCGAGUGUAAUCUCUGGGAGCAAAGCCUUACGCAGCAACAAAGAUUUGGUCAUCAUAAAGAAGAAGCAAGAGAAUCCUAAUCCUCUCAUGAGAAAAGCCAGACAACAAGGAGACCAUGAAUGCCUUCACCGUGACAUGAUAGCUGGAUUUACGACAUGGGAGUUCGACCCAACUGAACUGGAAAAUCCGUUUGAGGAAGGUGUAGGAUCAGUCCACAUGUGGCAAGGGAUGGAAGAUAGAAUGAUUCCUCGUGAAAUUAAUCAAUAUAUAUCGAAGAGGCUUCCUUGGAUUAAGUACCAUGAAGUCCCUGGUUAUGGACAUCUUCUAAACGCUGAGGAGGAGAAAUGCGAAGACAUUAUAAAGGCUCUUCUUGUCUAGUGAUGAUUAAACAAAAAUGUCUUAACGUUCUAUGUUGAAGGUCUCGUUUAAGAUUUGUUUGCUAAAGAGAUUUAUUAUGCGAAAGAAAAAUUGCUAAUGUUA